GUACUCACUUCGGCAGCACAUACACUAAAAUUUGAACGCUACAGAGAAGAUUAGCAUGGUCCUUGCGCAGGGAUGACAGGCAAAUUUGUUAAGCAUUCCAUAUUUAA
rfam:Erinaceus europaeus unplaced genomic scaffold scaffold00614, whole genome shotgun sequence